AGAGUUUGAUCAUGGCUCAGAGCGAACGCUGGCGGCGUUAACACAUGCAAGUCGAGUGCGCGUUUCCGUAGCAAUACGGAGAUGGCGCACGGCGCACGGGUGCGUAACACGUGGGUAAUCUGCCCUCUGAUGGGGAAUAACUCGCCGAAAGGCGAGCUAAUUCCGCAUAACAUUCCUUGGACUCCGGUCCGAGGAUUCAAAGGCGUAAGUCGUCGGAGGUGGAGCCCGCGCACGAUUAGCUAGUUGGUGAGAUAAUGGCUCACCAAGGCUAUGAUCGUUAGCUGGUCUGAGAGGAUGGCCAGCCACACUGGAACUGAGACACGGUCCAGACUCCUACGGGAGGCAGCAGUGGGGAAUCUUGCACAAUGGGCGAAAGCCUGGUGCAGCGACGCCGCGUGGGGGAUGAAGCUUCUCGGAGUGUAAACCCCUUUCGACCGGGACGAAUACCUCGCAAGAGGGGUGACGGUACCGGUAUAAGAAGCCCCGGCUAACUACGUGCCAGCAGCCGCGGUAAGACGUAGGGGGCCAGCGUUGCUCGGAAUUACUGGGUGUAAAGGGUUCGUAGGCGGUGUGGCAAGUCGGGAGUGAAAUCUCUGGGCUCAACCCAGGGGCUGCUUCCGAAACUGCCGUGCUAGAGUGUGGGAGAGGCGCGUGGAAUUGCAGGUGUAGCGGUGAAAUGCGUAGAUAUCUGCAGGAACACCCGUGGCGAAAGCGGCGCGCUGGACCACUACUGACGCUGAGGAACGAAAGCUAGGGGAGCAAACAGGAUUAGAUACCCUAGUAGUCC
rnacentral:rRNA from 1 species